CGCAAACGCAGUAAGCAUUCCACCUGGGGAGUACGUUUGCUAGAAUGAAACUCAAAGGAAGUGACGGGGACCCGCACAAGCGGUGGAGCAUGUGGUUUAAUUGGAAGCAAUGUGAAGAACCUUGGCGAGUCUUGACAUCGCAUCGAAUGCCUGGCAAAGCAGGCAGUCCUCCGCGUCAUUGGAGACAGGUGGCGCAGGGUCGUUGUCAGCUUGUGUGGUGGGAUUUUCGGGCAAGUUCCGCAUCGUGGGCAACCCGUAUCCCCAGUAGCCAGCAUGUAGAGGCGGGCGCUGAGUGGUGUUUUCCCGCGGCAACUUGGCGGAAGGUGGCGAGGGGGUCAAAUCAUCAUUCCCGUUUUGGCAUGGGUUUCACACGGGUUUCAAUCGCCGGCACAACGGGCAUGCCAGUGCGCGAGCAGGAGCAAAUCCCUUAAAGCCGGCCCCAGUUCGGAUCGGAGGCUGCAACCCGCCUCCGUGAAGUCGGAGUUGCUAGUAAUCGCGGAUCAGCACGCCGCGGUGAAUGCGUUCCCGGGCCUUGCACUCACCGCCCGUCA
rnacentral:rRNA from 1 species